rnacentral:rRNA from 1 species
UACGGAGGGUGCGAGCGUUAAUCGGAAUUACUGGGCGUAAAGGGUGCGUAGGUGGUUGUAUAAGUUAUCUGUGAAAUCCCUGGGCUCAACCUGGGCAGGUCAGAUAAUACUGUACAACUCGAGUAAGGGAGAGGGUAGUGGAAUUUCCGGUGUAGCGGUGAAAUGCGUAGAGAUCGGAAGGAACACCAGUGGCGAAGGCGACUACCUGGCCUAUUACUGACACUGAGGCACGAAAGCGUGGGGAGCAAACAGG